rnacentral:rRNA from 1 species
AUUGAACGCUGGCGGCAUGCCUUACACAUGCAAGUCGAACGGCAGCGGGGGUAGCUUGCUACCUGCCGGCGAGUGGCGAACGGGUGAGUAAUACAUCGGAACGUGCCCUGUAGUGGGGGAUAACUAGUCGAAAGACUAGCUAAUACCGCAUACGACCUGAGGGUGAAAGUGGGGGACCGCAAGGCCUCAUGCUAUAGGAGCGGCCGAUGUCUGAUUAGCUAGUUGGUGGGGUAAAGGCCCACCAAGGCGACGAUCAGUAGCUGGUCUGAGAGGACGAUCAGCCACACUGGGACUGAGACACGGCCCAGACUCCUACGGGAGGCAGCAGUGGGGAAUUUUGGACAAUGGGGGCAACCCUGAUCCAGCAAUGCCGCGUGUGUGAAGAAGGCCUUCGGGUUGUAAAGCACUUUUGUCCGGAAAGAAAUCGCACUGGUUAAUACCUGGUGUGGAUGACGGUACCGGAAGAAUAAGGACCGGCUAACUACGUGCCAGCAGCCGCGGUAAUACGUAGGGUCCAAGCGUUAAUCGGAAUUACUGGGCGUAAAGCGUGCGCAGGCGGUUGUGCAAGACCGAUGUGAAAUCCCCGGGCUUAACCUGGGAAUUGCAUUGGUGACUGCACGGCUAGAGUGUGUCAGAGGGAGGUAGAAUUCCACGUGUAGCAGUGAAAUGCGUAGAGAUGUGGAGGAAUACCGAUGGCGAAGGCAGCCUCCUGGGAUAACACUGACGCUCAUGCACGAAAGCGUGGGGAGCAAACAGG